ACGGGGUGCAGCAGGCGCGAAAACUUCACAAUGUGCGAAAGCGCGAUGAGGGAAUCCCAAGUGCUUGCUCGUUAGAGUAAGCUGUUUUUAUGUUUAAAACGCAUAGAGAGUAAGAGCUGGGUAAGACGGGUGCCAGCCGCCGCGGUAAUACCUGCAGCUCGAGUGGUGGCCGCUAUUAUUGGGCCUAAAACGUUCGUAGCCGGUUUAAUAAAUGCCUGGGUAAAUCGUGUAGCUUAACUAUACGAAUUCCGGGUAGACUGUUAAACUUGAGACCGGGAGAAGCUAGAGGUACUCCUGGGGUAGAGGUGAAAUUCUGUAAUCCUAGGGGGACCACCAGUGGCGAAGGCGUCUAGCUAGAACGGGUCUGACGGUGAGGAACGAAGCCCUGGGGCGCAAACCGGAUUAGAUACCCGGGUAGUCCAGGGUGUAAACGCUGCUUGCUUGAUGUUAGUCGGGCUCCGAGCCCGAUUAGUGUCGGAGAGAAGUUGUUAAGCAAGCUGCCUGGAAGUACGCCGCAAGAC
rnacentral:rRNA from 1 species